rnacentral:other from 1 species
GUCAAAAAACAAAAUAAUUCUCAUAGGGAAUUGAAUA